CCUUAGCCCAGAUAGAAACGGUUACCCCACAGCAGGCGAAGGAAAAAGCGGCUGCGCGAGGAGUAAAAGUGGAUAGCUGGAAAAAGC
rnacentral:misc_RNA from 1 species